AGGAAUUUAUGUAUCUGAAUUCAUCUUUCCAAAUUAACAAUGUGAGCUGUCGGGAUCCCUCUGAUGCAUUAUGUCUAUGCGGUGUCUGAGCUUCCUAAAGGAAUUUAUGUAUCUGAAUUCAUCCUUCCAAAUUAACAAUGUGAGCUGUCGGGAUCCCUCUGAUACAUUAUGUCUAUGCGGUGUCUGAGCACCGGGGGCCACAGCAGUGCACAGGAUCCGAUGCCCGGCAGCCCUACAGGAACAGCGAUCACCGGCUCCCUGGACUGGUCAAGAGAAGGAAUCUUGAAUAACAUUAAUGACCCUUUCCAUUGUCAAUUCCUUACAAUGAUGGAGAUGAUAUAUCAUAACGGUAUCCGUUCACAUGGUCGACAGUCAUUAGGUCGACCACUAUUGGUCGACAUUGACAUGGUCGACAUGGACACAUGGUCAACACAUGAAAAGGUCGACACAUGAAAAGGUCGACAUGAGUUUAACUUUUUUUUCUUUUGGGGAACUUUUCCAUACUUUACGAUCCACGUGGACUACGAUUGGAACGGUAAUCUGUGCCGAGUGAAGCGGUAGCGGAGCGAAGGCACCAUGCCCGAAGCAUGGUGAGCGGACGCGGUGCACUAGUUGGGGUUCCCAGUCACUUUACGCAAAAAAUGACACCAAAAAAAGUUAAAAAACUCAUGUCGAUGUGUCCAUGUCGACCAUGUACAUGUCAACCAAUAGUGGUCGACCUAAUGACUGUCGACCAUAACAUGGUCGACCAUUCAUACCGGAACCAUCAUAACAGUGGAUACUGUAGCUACACCAAUCACAAUAGGUCCCUUAUAUAUCCUGACUACUUAUUUAAUAAAUUAUGUUUGACCAUAACUAAUUGUCACAGUACACAAAAUGAAAAGAGAGAAUGAUCUCACUUGUGCUCUAGAUUGCUCUAACAACAGGUAAUUACUCACGUAAUUUCCAGUUGUUGGUAAUUGUGACAUCAUCAUGUGAGAAGUAGACGUUGUUGGAACAAUCUAUAGUGCAAGUUUUUCAUCUACAUGCUUAUUGGUGACUUCUUUUUGUGACGGUCUCUGCAGCUUUGGAGUGCAGCGCCACAGGUGUCAUUAUUUUUUGUAUUAAACGGUUACAGUACAGCUAUUGUGUCUUAGCCUAGAGGUUUACCAAUGGGUUCUUUUAUUAAAUGGUGAUUUGUUUUCAAGGCCAACAAUUAUCUGUACGGCCGUGAAAAAUCAAACAAAACAAAUUCAGACAAAAACACUAGUGAAAAAGUAACAAGGCUAACAGGCUCCUAAAUCACCGAGUGCCGUAACUAAACAUUUUGGUGCCCUGUGCCAGAAAGAGAACUGGUGCUCCCCAAUCUAAAUUUCAAAUAGUGAUAGCACGCGCCACAAAUAAAUGGGCGUGACUUCAUGGGGAAUGGGAUUGCCACAUAAUAGUAUCAAUUCACAUUACACUGUACAGUAGUGCCCCUUAUACACAUUACACCUGAUCACACAGCACUCCAUGGAAAUCCAUACAAUAACUUGCCAGGGUGCUCUCAUGGGGCCUGCCAACCCCCUACUA